rnacentral:rRNA from 1 species
GACUGGCCGGAUGAGAAAUCUUUUUCGGUUCUCUCGGUCGCAGUGCAAAGCCGUUUUUAAGUGGCGGAAUGGCUCGUUUGGGUAAUUUCGAUAACGAACGAGAACCCAGCCUUCUAAAUAGGUUCCUUAGAGAAUUCAACGGGGUGAAUCUUCUGAGAGGGAGGCGCAUUCUAUUAGAUGCAGGAAGAUAGGGGCAAUACCAGGUCUGGGAUGCCUUUAGAUGUCGUGGGCCGCACGCGCGACACACUGACGCAUUCAAAGAGUUAUACCUUGGCCGAGAGGCCUGGGCAAUAUUUUGAACCUGCAUCGUGAUAGGGAUAGAUUAUUGCAAUUAUUAAUCUUGAACGAGGAAUUCCUAGUAAACGCAGAUCAUCAAUCUGCAUUGAUUACGUCCCUGCCCUUUGUACACACCGCCCGUCGCACCUACCGAUUGAAUGGUCCGGUGAAGCCUCGGGAUUGUGGCGAGUUCCCUUUAU